GUAGGUGGCAAGCGUUGUCCGGGAAUUAUUGGGGCGUAGAGCGCGCGCAGGCGGUUCUUUAAGUCUGAUGUGAAAGCCCACGGGCUCAACCGUGGAGGGUCAUUGGAAACUGGAGAACUUGAGUACAGAAGAGGAAAGCGGAAUUCCACGUGUAGCGGUGAAAUGCGUAGAGAUGUGGAGGAACACCAGUGGCGAAGGCGGCUUUCUGGUCUGUAACUGACGCUGAGGCGCGAAAGCGUGGGGAGCAAACAGGAUUAGAUGCCCUGGUAGUCCACGCCGUAAACGAUGAGUGCUAAGUGUUAGGGGGUUUCCGCCCCUUAGUGCUGCAGCUAACGCAUUAAGCACUCCGCCUGGGGAGUACGGCCGCAAAGGCUG
rnacentral:rRNA from 1 species